rnacentral:rRNA from 1 species
AUCGAUUCCCUGAGUAGCGGCGAGCGAAACGGGAAGAGCCCAAACCAACGAGCUUGCUUGUUGGGGUUGUAGGACACUCUAUACGGAGUUACAAAGGAAUAGAUUAGACGAAGCAUCUGGAAAGAUGUAUCAAAGAAGGUAAUAAUCCUGUAGUCGAAAAUCUGUUCUCUCUUGAGUGGAUCCUGAGUACGACGGAACACGAGAAAUUCCGUCGGAAUC